rnacentral:tRNA from 1 species
GCCGCGUUAGUGUAGCCAGGUCAAUCAUCUGAGGCUCUCGACCUUAGGACCGGGGUUCGAAUUCUUUAGGGAUUUGCCCUAUUGAAGAAACUCCCCGACGCGGCACCA